AGAUUAUGCAAAGAAAAUUUGAAAAUUUUCAGAUGAAGAAAAGUAUUUUUAAUCAUAACAUGAAAAUCACUAUGCACUCAAAGCAGUCAACACUCUAGCUCCAUGUAUUCAUGGACAAAUCUUUAGUAAAAAUACUACAUUAAAAAAUAUC